rnacentral:rRNA from 1 species
UACGGAGGGUGCAAGCGUUAUCCGGAUUUACUGGGUUUAAAGGGUGUGUAGGCGGACUUUUAAGUCAGCGGUGAAAUCUCCGGGCUCAACCCGGAAACUGCCAUUGAUACUAUUGGUCUUGAAUAUUGUGGAGGUAAGCGGAAUAUGUCAUGUAGCGGUGAAAUGCUUAGAUAUGACAUAGAACACCUAUUGCGAAGGCAGCUUACUACGCAUAUAUUGACGCUGAGGCACGAAAGCGUGGGGAUCAAACAGG